rnacentral:rRNA from 1 species
UACAGAGGGGGCUAGCGUUGUUCGGAAUUACUGGGCGUAAAGCGCACGUAGGCGGCUUUGUAAGUUAGAGGUGAAAGCCCAGGGCUUAACCCUGGAAUUGCCUUUAAAACUGCAUCGCUAGAAUUGUGGAGAGGUAAGUGGAAUUCCGAGUGUAGAGGUGAAAUUCGUAGAUAUUCGGAAGAACACCAGUGGCGAAGGCGACUUACUGGACACAUAUUGACGCUGAGGUGCGAAAGCGUGGGGAGCAAACAGG